rnacentral:rRNA from 1 species
CGAGCACGCGCGUGUGGCAUAUCAAUAAGCGGAGGAAAAGAAACUAACAAGGAUUCCCUUAGUAACGGCGAGUGAAGCGGGAAGAGCUCAAAUUUGAAAUCUUCAAGGUUCUGACCUUGACGAAUUGUAGUUUAUAAGAAGUGUUUUCGGUUAGAUGGAGUGGCUAAAAGUUCUUUGGAAUAGGACAUCAUAGAGGGUGAGAAUCCCGUAUUUGACCAGUUACUUUCCAGCUGUUGUGAUACACUUUCAAAGAGUCGGAUUGUUUGGGAAUGCAGUCCAAAAUGGGUGGUAAAUUUCAUCUAAAGCUAAAUAUUGGCGAGAGACCGAUAGCGAACAAGUACCGUGAGGGAAAGAUGAAAAGAACUUUGAAAAGAGAGUUAAACAGUACGUGAAAUUGUCAAAAGGGAAGCGUUUGACACCAGUGUUGUUUUUCCGAAAAUCAAUUACGAAUGUUUUGUUUUUGAGGAGUUAUGACUUCAUCGGCUUGCUUCUCUCUUUACGAAACUUUCUUAAUGCACUUUUCGGUUAACAAGUCAACAUCAAUUUCUUUUGUUGUAAAAGGGUAUGAGGAAGGUGGCUUUCUUUUCGGAGAAAGUGUUUAUAGCCUUGUAGCCUCUGCAAUCGGAGAGAUUGAGGUCUGCAGCGUAGAUCCUUCGGGGUUAGAUACAGUUUGUGCUAAGUUAUAGCUUUUCAUAGACAACUUGUUGACUAUGUUAAGUCUUGUAGCUUACUCGCUUAUGCUAUUUUACCUACGCUUAGGAUGUUGAGUAGCGACAUACGCAC